rnacentral:rRNA from 1 species
UACGAAGGGUGCAAGCGUUAAUCGGAAUUACUGGGCGUAAAGCGUGCGUAGGCGGUUCGUUAAGUCUGAUGUGAAAGCCCUGGGCUCAACCUGGGAAUGGCAUUGGAUACUGGCGGGCUAGAGUGCGGUAGAGGGGUGCGGAAUUCCCGGUGUAGCGGUGAAAUGCGUAGAGAUCGGGAGGAACAUCUGUGGCGAAGGCGGCACCCUUGACCAGCACUGACGCUUAGGCACGAAAUCGUGGGGAGCAAACAGG